rnacentral:rRNA from 1 species
CGGAUGGGUUUGACCGGUCCGCCGUUUCGGUGUGCACUGGUCGUACCUAUCUUGCUGUCGGGGACGCGCUUCUGGCCUUAAUUGGCUGGGACGCGGAGUCGGCGAUGUUACUUUGAAAAAAUUAGAGUGUUCAAAGCAGGCCUAAGCUCUGAAUACAUUAGCAUGGAAUAACGCUAUAGGACUCUGGUCUUAUUGCGUUGGUCUUCGAGACCGGAGUAAUGAUUAAGAGGGACAGUUGGGGGCAUUCGUAUUUCAUUGUCAGAGGUGAAAUUCUUGGAUUUAUGAAAGACGAACUUCUGCGAAAGCAUUUGCCAAGGAUGUUUUCAUUAAUCAAGAACGAAAGUUGGGGGCUCGAAGACGAUCAGAUACCGUCCUAGUCUCAACCAUAAACGAUGCCGACUAGGGAUUGGCGGAUGUUAAUUCGAUGACUUCGCCAGCACCUUAUGAGAAAUCAAAGUUUUUGGGUUCCGGGGG